UUUUGGACAAUGGGCGCAAGCCUGAUCCAGCAAUGCCGCGUGCAGGAAGAAGGCCUUCGGGUUGUAAACUGCUUUUGUACGGAACGAAACGGUCCUGGUUAAUACCUGGGGCUAAUGACGGUACCGUAAGAAUAAGCACCGGCUAACUACGUGCCAGCAGCCGCGGUAAUACGUAGGGUGCAAGCGUUAAUCGGAAUUACUGGGCGUAAAGCGUGCGCAGGCGGUUUUGUAAGACAGGCGUGAAAUCCCCGGGCUUAACCUGGGAAUGGCGCUUGUGACUGCAAAGCUGGAGUGCGGCAGAGGGGGAUGGAAUUCCGCGUGUAGCAGUGAAAUGCGUAGAUAUGCGGAGGAACACCGAUGGCGAAGGCAAUCCCCUGGCCUGCACUACGCUCGGCACGAAG
rnacentral:rRNA from 1 species